UCUGGCAAUGAUGACACACUUGCCCUCACUGAGAAUAUUAUUCAGUGAUGAGAGCUUUUUUUGUACUCGACCUGAGCCAGC